UUUCAUUAAUGGUUAUUCAUUUGUGCCGCGAAAACAUCAAAGUUCCAGUGUUCGUCUCUCUUCUCCGUCCAGCCGCGACCUCUGAACUUCAUCACUGAAUCUGAAACGGUCGGAGUUAUGUGUUUUUCGUGUGGUGUUAAAGCCUUAUUAAUUCAAUCUCCAUCAAUCAUCGAUCAUCAGUAAUCUUCGCCACCCUUAGCAUUCAGAAGUGGAUCUCCCAAAUUCCUUUUAUCUCUACCAAUUCCAGUCGAGUUCUUCUGAUUGUAAAAUCAGGAACCUAGUGAGAGUGAGAAGCUACAUUGCCUUAUACCAGCACCUAAAGCAUAUAUGUUACGCCUCUCUCUUGGCCCAGGAGUAUAGAUUAUGUGCCUUAUGAAGAGAUGACAGCAAACAAGAGGCUACGUUCUGUAUGUGAAGGUAACGAGAGGUGUUGAUAAGGCCGAGGGAGAACUCAGUCAACAAGAGAUCUAUGUUAACGCCAAGUGAAACAACAUGCAAUAGCUUCUUCUUCAUCUCUGUUGUACUCUGUUUUCAGAAGCUGAUUAUCCCAGAGUUCAUUGAGUUCAUUUCACCUUGCAGCUCAUAUGCUUUGUCGAUUGUUUUAAUCGGUGUUGCAGACGGGCGAUGGGAAGACAUGAGGAAGUUCGACGACAAGAUCCCUAAGCGUGAAUUUGACAACUUUCAGUUUUGGAAUUUCACAGAGAUCAUGAAGAGAGAUCAUCAGAGUCAGCCAAAGAAGUUGCAUUUGCUCUUGCUGCUCUAAUGGAGAUUCCCUUUCAGUAUCAAGCAGCAACUGAACUCAGCUUUCUCGGGAAAACAACGGGCGUAGCUAAGAAAAUAAACCUGAGGCCACCACCUACUCCUUACACACCUACUAUACGUACUGAACUACCAUCACCUGCACCAGACGAACAUACUCAGAAUUGCCCAAUUUGUCUGACUAACCGGUAAGACGUGGCCUUUGGCUGUGGUCACAUGACUUGUAGAGAUUGCGGAUCCAGGAUAUCAAACUGUCCCAUCUGCAGAGUACUGAUCACAAGCUGGCUAAGGCUUUACACGUGAUCAGUGCCUUUGCAAAUAACAAAACACUUGCACAUACUGUCUUUCUCCAUCUUAGAGUCUCCAGCUUGGUUUACCAAGUGUCUCUGCAUUGUUCAUGAAUCAGCUUGUACCAUUUAAAUAUCCUAUGUACUAUAGAUGUUAGCUUGCAAACAAUGAUGAUGCAGAAAUUUACAAAACAUGGGUUUUACAUUUUUAUUCACUGUCACAAAAAAAAUGUUUGAAGUGAGUGAAUCUUGCACCAGUUCAAAAACAACAAAGCAUGCCAGAUUCAAGAAGAAGAAACAUGCUAUCUUUGCAUCGAAGAAAGAUUCGAGAGUUGAAUUCUUUGGUAAGGCUUCCUGGUAAGAGUCUCUCCUUUUAGAGCAGCCAUGUAUCUGUCGUUGGUAUCUUGCUUCUGUUUCAAUUCCCCGAGGU